CAAGAAUACCAUUUACGGGCGCAAUCCGCUAGCAAACACGCCAACUGUUGAGUCGGGCUCUCCGUGAAAGGUCAUCUUUGGACGGACAAAGAUCGUCACUGCAUCAGGGUGGGUGGUCGACUUGGAGGAAUCCAAAUUUCAAGGUCGCCAUUGAGCACGUGGGAUCUGCUUCCUGUGACCUGAUCCAAUCUUCGACUGCAAAAUUCCCAGAUUUUGUUGGAAACACUCCGAGGCGCCGCGUUACUGUAGCAAAUAUUAAGCGAGGCAAAGCAUCGCGAAAUGACAAGUCGAGUCAAGUCCUCGCGAACACGUCAGGAGCCGGCUUCGGAAAGUCGCCGCACCAUCUUGCCCCGUCACAUAUUCCCGCGUGACUUUGCACUGUCCUGUUGCUAGCUUGCUUUGCUAACUAGCAAAACGUUGUCUACGACUUGAUUGUCUCAUGCUAGCAAAGAUGGGAAGAGCUGGAGAGAGCGUAAGCCGUGACUUCCUGAAGGAAGUUCGGGCCUUCGCAUUCCCACUCCUUGCGUGUUUCGCUGACUGCCAAGGAUGUCAUUUCCCAACAUGCGCUUUUUCAUCUGCUCAAGUCAUCUUGCUCCCAACCCAACAAGCGCAACAAGACGCUCGAGGCCCAUAAAACGGAGACCGAAACAAAACACCAGUUGGGAAAACAAGAAGAGUCAGUGCGAGGCAAAUCAAACGUGUUUACAGUUUUUUGCCUGCCAAAUUCACAUGAUUCUUGCUCAUGGACAUCCACUUCCUGUUUCUGUCUUUAGGUCUUCCUCUUUGCCGUUAAGUAAAACUCAUCAAGUUCUCACAAAGGCAUUUUAGUUAGCUCCAUAAACAGACAUUUGCAUCUUGGCUCGCUUGCCGUUCCUACUCCAAGCGAUUCCGAAGGCAGAGUGCUGGAAAGAAAGUUAACCAAACAAGUCCCGGCAACAAAGAGGAAUUCCGCUACGGGUGACGAAUGAUCACGCAUAGCCAAACGACUGCAGUCAUCAGUCACACACUCGGGAAGCGCCUCCGAGCCAGAGUGGAAGAAAUGGAAAAACAAAAGGAGUCCAUUGGGCCACUGGGAAAAGUCGCAGCACCGCGUUGAAAUUUGUGUUCUGCGUUUGCCACCGAAACCGUAGCGGAAUAAGGUCGACGCGAUUAUGCCACUCAUGGGGAUUCCUGCAAAUUCGGGCCGCAAUUCCACCAGCGGGUUUGCUUCGACAUGGUCGAGAGGAAAUCAUUUUCACCUUGUGGAAAAUGUGAGGAGAACCGAGGCCAUGGCGCAUGAGUCAUUAGCCAGCUAUCUUUGGGGGGGGGUUCUUGCCUCGGCCAGCCGGACUUGUUUACUUUGUAGACAGAAGAGUUGGGAGGCACAUGAGGGGACGAGAGGAUGGUCGUUAAAGUUUCUGGGACCGUCUUGCGGAGUUGAACACGUGGUCGCCCGCCUCGUGUCGGAAAUACUUCGUUUGUCAAGUUCGCUGUUGGAGAGUGACAGCUGCCAACAUCCUGGCGAGGUCCAAUGGCCCAUGACUUACUUGAAAAGCAGAAGGUUUCUACUCAAUCCCAAGUUUCACUGAUAAUUGUCUGUCUCCCUUUUUCUGAAUUGGACGGGAAUGUGAGGAAAAUGAUCAUUGUCAAUGAGUGCCAAAGACAAAAUGCUUGAAGGACACGCUUACCCUGAAUCAUUUGAUCUAGGCCAUGGCAAAGCCAGUCAAAGUUCAGCUUUAACCAAUUGCAAAGCUCUUUGCUACAACAGCUGAGACAUUUUAGUUCACUCGGUUGAAAAUGGCGGUGGCGUAGCAAAUGCAGAAGGCUUCCGAGCGCCGUUAACCGCAAGCUUGGAAGCAAUUCUGCAAACGGAGGCAGAAAAUGUCCAGAGCUUUUGGAAUAACGCCGUCUCGUCUUACAGUCUAUAGUGAAGGAGAUGAGGUCAGCCCGAGUCUGGAAGUACAAAAUGUGGAGGGUUUACAAAAGCAUUAUUAUUUAUUGGAGUGACUCAGAGCGUGUCUGGCAAUGGCGUCCUCUAGUGAUGCCACAUCUUUAUUGGUAGGAUUUUGCCUUCUUGGUUACCACAGCCAAGGAUGGGUGGGCGUCAUGACUGUUGUACCCCAGCACAUUGCUCAGUGCAAAAGCACAAAGCUGCUUCUGUCCAAAAAGGAGUCAACCAAAUGACGCCUUAUCAUUGGCAGGGGCUCAAAAAGGACCGUUACGAGAGAGCUGAAAGUCGCCGUGGUCGCCGAGCUGAGUGAGUGAUGGGCAAGCAAAGGUGACCUGAGGCAGAUGGCAGAUGCGUGAGUCAUGACAGCUCCUACGUAUGUGCAGAACUCUUGCAGUUGCUCCCGGGAAGGAAGGAAGGAUCAGGAACAGCGCCUGCAGUGACGCGUGUGUGCCUGCCGCUUAUCUUUUGAUUUCACCGGCAGCGUGUUCGGCUUCCUCCACAAUAAUUCACGGAGCUCAGCUUUCUUAUCGGGUACGGACUUGUUUGCUGCGAAAGGAAACGCUAAGUGGGUUGCUCCACGAGUCAAGAUGCUCGCUCGUUCCUUCAAAGCCAGCCUCCUCUUUUUUACUUUUUAUUUUUAUUUAUUUGGUUAUUUUAAUAUAUAUAUAUAAUAUAUAUAUAUAUAUAUUUUUAUUUUUUUUUUUAUUUGUACACACACACAAAACAUUAUUAUAGACUACAAUGAUAGACGAUUUUGUCUUGGUAUGUGUCGUUGAUCAACAAUAUUUAAAUGUGUCAGUGACAAAUCUGCUUUUGUGGCUCUUCAUGGUGCACAGGGAAUGUACACUGAAGCUCAAGUCAAACAAUGACCUCAUUGCUCCGCCCCCCCCCCCCCCCAGACUGGGACUGGCAGAGUCAUUAUCGUUGUUUCCUGUCGAUGCAACUGGCCUGGAAUCCCCCACUUUAAAAGUGCUGGCCAAGGGGCAGAAAAGGUUGAGGGGGCAAAGCUGUGCGCUCGAUGAUUUCGGGACGGACGGACGGACGGACAGGGGACGCUCGCUGGUCCUGGCUUACAGCUGCCCCUUCAUUCCUGUUCCUCCAGAGAAGCGCGGCUGCUUUCUUCACAUUAUUUGGCGUUCAGCUUCGUCCCAUUUGCUUUGUGCAAGUGUUCCUUUAAGAAGUGGGUCAAAGCGAGCUCCCCAGAGUUCUGAUUUUCAUCAUUUGCGCUCUUCCCUUCAGCCAUGUUUACUUUCGACAUAGUAUCUAUCAUUCGCCUUGCGCUCUGAGAAGGGGCUGAACAUAAGCUCCGCCCGUAAUACACCUUCUAACGGAAUGAGAUGAUUAUUUGACGAGGUAAUCCAUCAUCUGAACAAAAGUGGAAGGGGAAGGCCUCGCCGUGGCUCCCCCUUUCAAAAGCUGCGAGUCUCCACUUGCCUCAGGACGCCUGAGAAGAGUGCAGCGGUUCAAGAGAAAGGACAAUCUGUAUUGUAUUUUUCAACAUUUCCACGAGAAAAAGCUGCGGGCUGAUAGCGAACGGCGGCCCGUGAGAAAAAGCUGAUGGCUGAUAGCGAGGAUCGGGCCACGGCCCUUUUCGUCACGAUGGCAUGACUUCAUCUUCUGCACACAGAAGUGCUUUCAUAUUUUCUAAAGCCGAGCUAGUGUGAACGCUCCAUGAUUUACAAGCAGCCUCAGUGUUCAACGAGUCUCGCCCUUUUGAAGGGUGAGCGCAAAUUUCCAGGUCAUGCACUGUAAGUGUCUGAACGGGAAAAUGUGCAGAAAGGUGCCUAAGCUCAGCGACACCAAAAGAUGGCAGUGGGCUUGAAGGGCCAUUUCCUACCAAGAGGCCUGUAAUCACUUGACAGGCUAAUAUUGAUGGUUGCAAAAGAAGUGACACCCAAUGCUUUUGUGCAGGUUGUUGUCUUGGAGUGAAACAUCAAAUAAAAUAGUGAGUACAACGUA